CUACGGGAUGCUGCAGUGAGGAAUAUUGCACAAUGGGGGGAACCCUGAUGCAGCAACGCCGCGUGGAGGAUGACGCAUUUCGGUGUGUAAACUCCUUUUAUAUGUCAAGAAAAUGACGGUAGCAUAUGAAUAAGCACCGGCUAACUCCGUGCCAGCAGCCGCGGUAAUACGGAGGGUGCAAGCGUUACUCGGAAUCACUGGGCGUAAAGGACGCGUAGGCGGGCUUGUAAGUCAGGUGUGAAAUCCUACAGCUUAACUGUAGAACUGCACUUGAAACUACGAGCCUAGAGUAUGGGAGGGGCAGAUGGAAUUAGUGGUGUAGGGGUAAAAUCCGUAGAUAUCACUAGGAAUACCUAAAGCGAAGGCGAUCUGCUGGAACAUAACUGACGCUAAGGCGUGAAAGCGUGGGGAGCAGACAGGAUUAGAUACCCUCGUAGUC
rnacentral:rRNA from 1 species